rnacentral:rRNA from 2 species
AAAACGACUCUCGGCAACGGAUAUCUCGGCUCUCGCAUCGAUGAAGAACGUAGCGAAAUGCGAUACUUGGUGUGAAUUGCAGAAUCCCGUGAACCAUCGAGUUUUUGAACGCAAGUUGCGCCCGAAGCCUUUUGGUUGAGGGCACGUCUGCCUGGGUGUCAUAU